GACGAACGCUGGCGGCGUGCUUAACACAUGCAAGUCGAACGAUGAAGCUGGAGCUUGCUCUGGUGGAUUAGUGGCGGACGGGUGAGUAACACGUGAGUAACCUGCCCUGGACUCUGGGAUAACCUCGAGAAAUCGGAGCUAAUACCGGAUAGGACCUCGGAUCGCAUGAUCUGGGGUGGAAAGUUUUUCGGUCUGGGAUGGACUCGCGGCCUAUCAGCUUGUUGGUGAGGUAAUGGCUCACCAAGGCGUCGAAGGGUAGCCGGCCGGAGAGGGUGAGCGGCCACCCUGGGACUGAGACCCGGCCCAGAGUCCUAAGGGAGGCAGCAGUGGGGAAUAUUGCACCAUGGGCGCAAGCCUGAUGCAGCAACGCCGCGUGCGGGAUAACGGCCUUCGGGUUGUAAACCGCUUUUAGUAAGGAAGAAGCCGCAAGGUGACGGUACUUGCAGAAAAAGGACCGGCUAACUACGUGCCAGCCGCCGCAGUAACAC
rnacentral:rRNA from 1 species